AUACGGAAGGUCCGGGCGUUAUCCGGAUUUAUUGGGUUUAAAGGGUGCGCAGGCGGCCGUGCAAGUCAGCGGUGAAAGCCCGGGGCUCAACCCCGGAAGUGCCGUUGAUACUGCAUGGCUGGAAUGCGGUCGAGGCGGGCGGAACGGGGGGUGUAGCGGUGAAGGGCGUAGAUAUGUCACAGAACGCCGAUAGCGGAGCGGUCUGGCAAGGCCUGCAUGGACGCUCGGGCACGAAAGCGUGGGGAUCGAGCAGGAUUAGAUCCCCUGGUAGUCCACGCCGUAAACGAUGGGUGCUCGUCGUCGGCGGCAGACAGUCGGCGGCCAAGCGAAAGCGAUAAGCGCCCCACCUGGGGAGUACGGUCGCAAGGCUGAAACUCAAAUGAAUUGACGGGG
rnacentral:rRNA from 1 species